rnacentral:rRNA from 1 species
UCGAGAAUCUUCGGCAAUGGGCGCAAGCCUGACCGAGCGACGCCGCGUGCGGGAUGAAGGCCCUCGGGUUGUAAACCGCUGUCAGAGGGAUGGAAAUACUGGGGGGUUCUCCCUUCAGUUUGACUGACCCUCAGAGGAAGUACGGGCUAAGUUCGUGCCAGCAGCCGCGGUAAGACGAACCGUACAAACGUUACUCGGAAUCACUGGGCUUAAAGGGUGCGUAGGCUGUCCGGUAAGUCGGGUGUGAAAUACCUCAGCUCAACUGAGGAAUUGCGCCCGAAACUGUCGGACUUGAGGGAGACAGAGGUGAGCGGAACUUAGGGUGGAGCGGUGAAAUGCGUUGAUAUCCUAAGGAACACCAGUGGCGAAAGCGGCUCACUGGGUCUCUUCUGACGCUGAGGUACGAAAGCUAGGGGAGCGAACG